UGAUAAGGGAGGUCGGACCCUCGUAAGUAGAUUUACAGCCUACCGC
rnacentral:tRNA from 1 species